rnacentral:rRNA from 1 species
CAGGCCUAACACAUGCAAGUCGAACGAAGGCUUCGGCCUUAGUGGCGCACGGGUGCGUAACGCGUGGGAAUCUGCCCUGGGGUACGGAAUAACUCAGAGAAAUUUGAGCUAAUACCGUAUGAUGACGUAAGUCCAAAGAUUUAUCGCCCUGGGAUGAGCCCGCGUAGGAUUAGCUAGUUGGUGAGGUAAAGGCUCACCAAGGCGACGAUCCUUAGCUGGUCUGAGAGGAUGAUCAGCCACACUGGGACUGAGACACGGCCCAGACUCCUACGGGAGGCAGCAGUGGGGAAUAUUGGACAAUGGGCGAAAGCCUGAUCCAGCAAUGCCGCGUGAGUGAUGAAGGCCUUAGGGUUGUAAAGCUCUUUUACCCGGGAUGAUAAUGACAUACGCGGGAGAAUAAGCUCCGGCUAACUCCGUGCCAGCAGCCGCGGUAAU